rnacentral:rRNA from 1 species
AGUGAACGCUGGCGGUAGGCCUAACACAUGCAAGUCGAACGGCAGCACAGUAAGAGCUUGCUCUUACGGGUGGCGAGUGGCGGACGGGUGAGGAAUACAUCGGAAUCUACUUUUUCGUGGGGGAUAACGUAGGGAAACUUACGCUAAUACCGCAUACGACCUACGGGUGAAAGCAGGGGAUCUUCGGACCUUGCGCGAUUGAAUGAGCCGAUGUCGGAUUAGCUAGUUGGCGGGGUAAAGGCCCACCAAGGCGACGAUCCGUAGCUGGUCUGAGAGGAUGAUAGGCACAACUGAAAUGAGAAACCGGCCCAGACCCCUAGGGGGGGCAGAGGUGGGGAAUUUUGGAAAAGGGGGCGAAGCCUGACCCAGCCAUCCCGGGUGGGUGAAGAAGGCCUUGGGGUUGUAAAGCCUUUUUGUUGGGAAAAAAAAGCAGCAGGUUAAUCCCCCGCUGUUCGGACGGUACCCAAAGAAUAAGCCCCGGCUAACUUCG